CAGCAGCCACGGGAAUACGAACCGUGCGAACGUUAUUCGGAAUCACUGGGCGUAAAGCGCACGUAGGCGGAUACUUAAGUCAGGGGUGAAAUCCCGGGGCUCAACCUCGGAACUGCCUUUGAUACUGGGUAUCUUGAGUCCGGGAGAGGUUGGUGGAACUCCGAGUGUAGAGGUGAAAUUCGUAGAUAUUCGGAAGAACACCAGUGGCGAAGGCGGCCAACUGGCCCGGUACUGACGCUGAGGUGCGAAAGCGUGGGGAGCAAACAGGAUUAGAUACCCCCGUAGUCCCUGUCUCUUAUAC
rnacentral:rRNA from 1 species